UACGUAGGUGACAAGCGUUGUCCGGAUUUACUGGGCGUAAAGAGCGCGCAGGCGGUCGUUCAAGUCGAGUGUGAAAGCCCCCGGCUCAACUGGGGAGGGUCACGCGAUACUGAUCGACUCGAAGGCAGGAGAGGGUAGUGGAAUUCCCGGUGUAGUGGUGAAAUGCGUAGAUAUCGGGAGGAACACCAGUGGCGAAGGCGGCUCACUGGCUCGACACUGACGCUGAGGUGCGAAAGCGUGGGGAGCAAACAGG
rnacentral:rRNA from 1 species